rnacentral:rRNA from 1 species
UACGGAGGGUGCAAGCGUUAUCCGGAUUCACUGGGUUUAAAGGGUGCGUAGGUGGGCAAGUAAGUCAGUGGUGAAAUCUCCGGGCUUAACCCGGAAACUGCCAUUGAUACUAUUUGUCUUGAAUACUGUGGAGGUCAGCGGAAUAUGUCAUGUAGCGGUGAAAUGCUUAGAUAUAACAUAGAACACCAAUUGCGAAGGCAGCUGGCUACACAAAUAUUGACACUGAGGCACGAAAGCGUGGGGAGCAAACAGG